rfam:Parcubacteria bacterium GW2011_GWA2_47_8 TY09_C0001, whole genome shotgun sequence.
GAGUUUGAUCCUGGCUCAGGAUGAACGCUGGCGGCGUGGAUAAGGCAUGCAAGUCGAGCGAGACUUCGGUCUAGCGGCGAACGGGGUAGUACAAAGUAGGAACGUGCCUGUAACUCUGGGAUAACUCCGAGAAAUCGGAGCUAAUACCAGAUAGUCCCGCAAGGGUAAAGUUUCGGCGGUUACAGAUCGGCCUACUCCCCAUCAGCUAGUUGGUGAGGUAAUGGCUUACCAAGGCUAUGACGGGUAGGGGACGUGAGAGCGUGACCCCCACCACUCGCACUGAGAUACUGGCGAGACACCUACGGGUGGCUGCAGUCGAGAAUCUUCGGCAAUGGGCGCAAGCCUGACCGAGCGACGCCGCGUGCAGGAGGAAGCCCUUCGGGGUGUAAACUGCUUUUAUGAGGGAACAAGACUUCGGUUUGAGUGUACCUCAUGAAUAAGGGGCUGCUAACUCUGUGAGCUCUUGAAAAAAAGAGCUUGGCGCAGAGUGGUACUAGCAAUAGUGCCAAAGAAAACUUGGCUCAUAUGCGGGAAACAUUGGAACAACCGCGUUCUCGUUAAGUAGAGAAUUUGUUUCAAUCAAUCCGCAGGGAAGUUGAUUCAAAAAAGUGAAACCAACAUAGUAGAUGAGCAUUAUAUUAGUGUAUGGCUCAGAAAUCCGUCACGACAAUUCCUACUGAUCUCCAAUAUCAAAUCAUCCUAGGAGCAAUCCUCGGUGAUGGUUCAUUAGAAUUUGGUGGCUAUAUCGGUACAAGGCUACAACUUAAACAAAGAGAACAGAAUAAGGAGUAUAUAAGUUGGUUGUUUAAGAUGUUGUGUAAUUUGUGCCGAUCGGAACCAAAACAAAAACGAGAUACCAGCCAAUGGUAUUUCAGUACUCGUUCACUUCGGGAGCUUACGAAGCUCCAUAAACUAUUUUACUUGAAUAGCAAAAAGGUGAUACCAAGUACGAUUGGAAAUAUGUUACAAACGGGAUUGUCAUUAGCGGUUUGGUAUAUGGACGAUGGAACAUUAGACUAUCGACCGAAAAACCAUACUGCUAUUACACUAAGUACUGACUCAUUUCCUGUUGAUGGAGUAAAAAAACUUCAACAGGUACUAGAACGAAAUUUUGGGAUCGUGAGCUCGAUACAUCUUUCGUUGUGUCGUGGCAAACGGUAUCCAAAGCUGUAUAUUGGGGCGAAAAGUAGAGACAAUUUUUUGUCUUUGGUUCGACCGCAUAUAGUAAACUGUUUCCGCUAUAAGUUGCCACCACAAAUGAGUCAACCCUUCAGAGACUGAACGAAUGAAUCGAAAGAAUGAUUCUUCGUCGAUGACAGGUACCGGAUAGUCCGGAAUAUAAACUGUCAUAACACGCCAAGCUCCUUCGCUAAUUCGAAGGAUGAAAGUAUAGUCCACAAUAACUGCUAAUAGGCCAGCAGCAGCGGUAAUACAGAGGCCCCGAGCGUUAUCC